rnacentral:rRNA from 1 species
CAUGUCUUUUUGAUAAUAAUUUAAAGUCUGACCUGCUCAAUGAGUUAUUAAAUUGCCGCAGUAUCCUAACUGUGCAAAGGUAGCAUAAUAAUUAGUUUUUUUAUUGAAAGCUGGAAUGAAUGGUUUGACAAGAAAGUUUCUGUCUCUUUAUUAUUUUUUUUUGAAAUUAAUUUUUAAGUUCAAAAGCUUAAAUUUUUUUAAAAGACGAGAAGACCCUAUAGAGUUUUAUUUUUUUGUUUGUUAUUAUUUCUAGGGAUUAAAUGUUUUAACUUAAAGAAGAAUUUGGUUGGGGUGACUUGAAGAUUGGAUUAACUCUUUAAAUUAUAAUCAUUGAUUUGUGAAUUUUGAAUCUAUAUUUUUAAAUAUAAAAUAAAUUACCUUAGGGAUAACAGCGUUAUUUUUCUUUAGAGUUCCUAUUGAAAGAAAAGUUUGCGACCUCGAUGUUGGAUUAAAAUUUGCUUUUGGUGUAGCAGCUAAUGGGCUGAGUCUGUUCGACUUUUAAAAUUUUACAUGAUCUGAGU